rnacentral:lncRNA from 1 species
CGACAAGCACACCUUCUGAAACUUUUCGCUUUUUACACUUAAUGACCUCAUCCGUCUACAUUUUUGAGAUCGGAAUUAUGAUAUAUGGAACAGAGUAGAUGAGCCUUCGUUUGAUAUGCGACAACACCAUGUUCUUGAAAGUUUGAUUUUUGCACUUAAUAACCCUAUCCAACAAAUUUUUGGAGGUCGGGAAUUUGAUAUUUCAAAUGUACACAUCAUGACCUUUCAUUUGAUAUACAACAACCCUACCUUAAAAGAACAUUUAUUUUUUGCACUCAAUGACCCCAUCCAACUCAUUUUUGGGAGACGUCAAUUUGAAAUUUGAAAUGUACGCUUAAUGUUCUUUCAUUUGAUAUGCGACAACCUUACCAUCUGAGAAAUUUGAAUGUUUGCACUAAAUGACCCCACCCGUCCCCCUGGGAUGAAAAGGGGGUUUAAAAUUUUCAUUUUUAAGUAGAGUUUAUUAAGACCUUCAAUUUGAUAUAUCAGAUGACCCCAUUUGACAAAGUGCAAAUAAUGAUGCAAUAUCAAUUAUAUAAAUAGAAGUUAUGAAACUUACAAAGUCAAUGCAAAACUUGAAAAUUUCAAAUUGAUUUUUUGGUGUUUUUUUCCGUGGAAUGUUUUUGGUAUUUGGUCAAACAUAUAACUAUGUCAACCUCUUCAAUUUCUAAAACAUUUUAAGUGGUAAGCUCUUGAUGAUUCAGAAAUACAUGCCUCCGCUCGAAAAACUUCAAACUGCAUUAUCUCUAAAACGACAAUAGAUAUCUCAAAUCUGUUAAAUGAUAAAUGAUCUACAGUUGAAGGAAAACAUUAUAAAAAAAGAAUUGGGACAAUUUCAAAGUUCACCAAGGUCACAAUUAAUCAUCAAAUAUAUGAUGCAAUACAAAACUUGAGAACCGGAAGUCGUAGAGACAUGGGACUAUCACCAUUCAACUCAGGACCACUUGACCUUUCAAAUAUUACAAGGUCAAGGUCAUAGUAAAAUGUGAAGGUCAAGGUGAAAUUUCAUCAUGACCUGACAUUGACCUCAAAUUGAAGGUCUUGAACUACUGAUCAUCUUUGCAGUUUAUAGUAGGUUGAUAUCUGUUACCUUUAAAAAGAUAUACACACAAUACUAUACUUUUAAGAAUCAUCCCGUCGUAACUUUUGAACAGACAGUCGGACUCUUUUGAGGUCAGUGUAUAAAAUGUAGAGCUCGUCGAGAGGAACAUUUUAUACGCUGUAAGUAUGCAGCAAACUCUUAUCGUUUUCUUAAUAUGAAAGCUUGAAAUUGCAGCGUAAUUUUUUUUUGCACUCGGUGACCUUUGACCUUGGGUGCAAAUUAAAGGUCACAUGAACUUAAGAUUAUUGGUGUAGGUCCCAAGUCUUUACGACUUCCGGUUCUCGAGAUACAAUUUUUCAAAAAUUGUUUAUAUUUUUUCAAGGGGAAAUAACUCCUUAUAAGGGUUAACAACAAAAUGAUUGUAUAUGUUAAUUAACAUUGCCAUCUGGUCUUGUACAUGUUGCCGUUUUCAAAUCAAUUCUAUCUUGAAUACUUUUUGAGAAAAAUGUAAAAGAAAGAAAUUGCUUCAAGGGGACGUAACUCUCAUAGGGAAUAAUGAAAUCCUUAGCAGCCUCAUAUGGUAACACAUCAUGAUGAGAUCUAACUGUUGUCCAAAUAAGGUCAUGAUAUCUUUAAAAACAACGAGGGGGGGCCAUGUCGAAAAAAAACCAAUAAAAGGGAGAUAACUUCUAAAGGGGAUGAUGAAAUCCUACACAGCCUCAUCUGGUAAUACUUCAUGAUGAGGUCUACCGAUGGUCCAUAUUUGGUCUUGAUAACUCCAAUAGAAACAAGGGGAGGCCAUGUUAAACAAAUGCUGGAUGAAAAAAAAAAAAAAAAAAAAAAAAAAAAAAACUAGUAUCUCAAUUGUUUGUAAAACAAUUGAAAGGUCUUUCCUGUAAAAGUGAUGUUUUCGUAAUGUACUUUGUACGACCUUUCGUUUGAUAUACGACAACCAUACCUUCUGAAACUUUUCGCUUUUUACACUUAAUGACCUCAUCCGCCUACAUUUUUGAGAUCGGAAUUAUGAUAUAUGGAACAGAGUAGAUGAGCUUUCAUUUAAUAUGCGACAACACCAUGUUCUAGAAAGUUUGAUUUUUGCACUUAAUUACCCUAUCCAACUAAUUUUUGGAGGUCGGGAAUUUGAUAUUUCAAAUGUACACAUCAUGACCUUUCAUUUGAUAUAAAACAACCCUAUCGUAAAAGAAAAUUAAUUUUUUUGCACUCAAUGACCCUAUCCAACCAAUUUUUGGGGGACGUCAAUUUGAAAUUUGAAAUGUACGCUUUAUGUUCUUUCAUUUGAUAUGCGACAACCUUACCAUCUGAGAAAUUUGAAAGUUUGCACUAAAUGACCCCACCCGUCCCCCUGGGAUGAAAAAGGGGUUUAAAAUUUUCAUUUUUGAGUAGAGCUCAUUAAGACCUUCAAUUUGAUAUAUCAGAUGACCCCAUUUGACAAAGUGCAAAUAAUGAUGCAAUAUCAACUAUAUAAAUAGAAGUUAUGAAACUUACAAAGUCAAUGCAAAACUUGAAAAUUUCAAAUUGAUUUUUUGGUGUUUUUUUCCAUGGAAUGUUUUUGGUAUUUGGUCAAACAUAUAACUAUGUCAACCUCUUCAAUUUGUAAAACAUUUUAAGUGGUGAGCUCUUGAUGAUUCAAAAAUACAUGCCUCCGCUCGCAAAACUUCAAACUGCAUUAUCUCUAAAACGACAAUAGAUAUCUCAAAUCUGUUAAAUGAUAAAUGAUCUACAGUUGAAGGACAACAUUAUAGAAAAAGAAUUGGGACAAUUUCAAAGUUCACCAAGGUCACAAUUAAUCAUCAAAUAUAUGAUGCAAUACCAAACUUGAGAACCGGAAGUCGUAGAGACAUGGGACUAGCACCAUUCAACUCAGGACCACUUGACCUUUCAAAUAUCACAAGGUCAAGGUCAUAGUAUACUGUGAAGGUCAAGGUGAAAUUUCAUCAUGACCUGACAUUGACUUCAAAUUGAAGGUCUUGAAUUACUGAUCAUCUUUGCAGUUUAUAGUAGGUUGAUAUCUGUUACCUUUAAAAAGAUAUACACAAAAUACUAUACUUUUAAGAAUCAUCCCGUUGUAACUUUUGAACAGACGGUCGGAC